rnacentral:rRNA from 1 species
GACGAACGCUGGCGGCGUGCUUAACACAUGCAAGUCGAACGGUGAAAGCGGAGCUUGCUCCGCUGGAUCAGUGGCGAACGGGUGAGUAACACGUGGGCAACCUGCCCCUCACUUCGGGAUAACUCCGGGAAACCGGGGCUAAUACCGGAUAUGACCUCCUUGGGCAUCCUUGGAGGUGGAAAGUUUUUCGGUGAGGGAUGGGCCCGCGGCCUAUCAGCUUGUUGGUGAGGUAGUGGCUCACCAAGGCGACGACGGGUAGCCGGCCUGAGAGGGCGACCGGCCACACGGGGACUUAGACACGGCCCAGACUCCUACGGGAGGCAGCAGUGGGGAAUAUUGCGCAAUGGGCGAAAGCCUGACGCAGCAACGCCGCGUGCGGGAUGACGGCCUUCGGGUUGUAAACCGCUUUCAGCAGGGAAGAAGCCGCAAGGUGACGGUACCUGCAGAAGAAGCACCGGCUAACUACGUGCCAGCAGCCGCCGUAA